rnacentral:rRNA from 1 species
CGGGGGGGCGAAGCGUUGUUCGGAACUACUGGGCGUAAAGGGCUCGUAGGUGGCCAACUAAGUCAGACGUGAAAUCCCUCGGCUUAACCGGGGAACUGCGUCUGAUACUGGAUGGCUGGAGUAUGGGAGAGGAAUGCGGAAUUCCAGGUGUAGCGGUGAAAUGCGUAGAUAUCUGGAGGAACACCGGUGGCGAAGGCGGCAUUCUGGACCAUUACUGACGCUGAGGAGCGAAAGCCAGGGGAGCAAACGGGAUUAGAUACCCCGGUAGUCCUGGCCCUAAACGAUGAAUGCUUGGUGUGGCGGGUAUCGAUCCCUGCCGUGCCGAAGCUAACGCAUUAAGCAUUCCGCCUGGGGAGUACGGUCGCAAGGCUG